rnacentral:rRNA from 1 species
AUUGAACGCUGGCGGCAUGCCUAACACAUGCAAGUCGAACGGAGGUAGGGGCAACUCUACUUCAGUGGCGGACGGGUGAGGAAUGCGUCGGAAUCUACCCUAUGGUGGGGGAUAACACAGGGAAACUUGUGCUAAUACCGCAUAAUGUCGAGAGACCAAAGCAGGGGACCGCAAGGCCUUGCGCGAUAGGAUGAGCCGACGCCCGAUUAGCUAGUUGGUAGGGUAAAGGCCUACCAAGGCGACGAUCGGUAGCUGGUCUGAGAGGAUGAUCAGCCACACUGGGACUGAGACACGGCCCAGACUCCUACGGGAGGCAGCAGUGGGGAAUCUUGCGCAAUGGACGAAAGUCUGACGCAGCAACGCCGCGUGGGUGAUGAAGGUCUUCGGAUCGUAAAGCCCUGUCGGCAGGGAAAAUGCUUACGCCGUCUAACAGAUGGCGUGGGUGAUUGUACCUGCAAAGGAAGCACCGGCUAACUCUGUGCCAG